AGAUCACCUUUUUGUCCUUUGCUAAUAUAAUUUUGAUUUUUUUUCUUUCAGCUUUAUUGCUAAUAGCAGUGGUCCAAAUGGAAGACACUAUAAGUUUUAAGAUAGUGUUUUGCAACUAUAAAUUACUUUAAAUGAACCUUCAGUGAACUGCUUCUAUUUUAUUCCAUUGGCUACGUGGGAAGCUGGCAGCCUGUGACCUGGGAGAGGGCCCUCAUCAGACCAUGAUGGCAGCCUCCAGAACUGUGAGACACAGAUUCCCACUGCUUAUACCCUGCCCCUGAGACAAUGCAGCUGCAGCAGCCCGAGCACCUACCCCAAGGCCAAGCCAUUCUUCUCGCACCCUCUGACCAGAUAAAGCAAAACGCCUGCCGUCCAGGUGAGCUGUGGCACCUCCCUGCCUCUGGAAAUCCUUUCCUUGUGCCUGAAUGCUCACUCUGCUGCCUCCUCCUCCUGCUCAGAGUCCUGAACAUCUGCAAAGCUCCAGUGCAAGUGUAGCCUUCUUGGUGAACCUUCCCUUGCCCACGGAAGUGUGGCGUCGCUGUUCUCUCUGGGGUCCACUGCACUAUGUCUACACCCACCUGCUGACUGUGGAGCGCGUACCCCAGGGUAUAGAAAUUAGAGCAACAUGGGCACUGAUUCCAUCACCACGGCUUCCACUUGUCGUAGCUAUCAGAAAUCAAGACGCUGCUUCAGUAGCAUGUGGGACUAUUUCCAAACCAAGCGCUUUUGACAGACCCCGUGGUUCCCAGUUGGAUUACAUUAACUUGCUGUUGACCUAUUUGCAUUUCAGCAACUAGAUCCUCCCUUCCUAAUAAUUCAGCUGCAUUAAUUUUUCCAUAUUCGGGGUAGUGAGUAUUCUCUCUCUAACCUCAGUAUUUGGGGUUUGUGAAAUAAGAUAUUCAUAUUAAAACCACCAAGAAUUUGUGGUUACAUGGCUUUCAGUAUACCAGGAAUGGAGCUCACAUUUUUCAUGUAUCUCUGCCCAUGUUGUUUGUAUACCUCUACUUGGUCAUGUCUAAAAUAAAUUUUCUGAAAUCUAGGUAUUCAUCAUAGACCAUAAAGC
rnacentral:lncRNA from 1 species